rnacentral:rRNA from 1 species
CGUUAGCGGCGGACUGGGUGAGUAACACGUGGGUAACCUACCUAUAAGACUGGGAUAACUUCGGGAAACCGGAGCUAAUACCGGAUAAUAUUUCGAACCGCAUGGUUCGAUAGUGAAAGAUGGUUUUGCUAUCACUUAUAGAUGGACCUGCGCCGUAUUAGCUAGUUGGUAAGGUAACGGCUUACCAAGGCGACGAUACGUAGCCGACCUGAGAGGGUGAUCGGCCACACUGGAACUGAGACACGGUCCAGACUCCUACGGGAGGCAGCAGCC